rnacentral:rRNA from 1 species
UACGUAGGGUGCAGGCGUUAAUCGGAAUUACUGGGCGUAAAGCGUGCGCAGGCGGUUUGCUAAGACAGGUGUGAAAUCCCCGGGCUUAACCUGGGAACUGCGCUUGUAACUGGCAAGCUAGAGUGUGGCAGAGGGGGGUGGAAUUCCAGGUGUAGCAGUGAAAUGCGUAGAGAUCUGGAGGAACACCGAUGGCGAAGGCAGCCCCCCUGGGCUAACACUGACGCUCAUGCACGAAAGCGUGGGGAGCAAACAGG